UACGUAGGGGGCAAGCGUUGUCCGGAUUUAUUGGGCGUAAAGAGCGUGUAGGCGGCCAGGUAGGUCAGCUGUGAAAACUCGAGGCUUAACCUCGAGACGCCGGCUGAAACCCUCUGGCUAGAGUCCGGAAGAGGAGAGUGGAAUUCCUGGUGUAGCGGUGAAAUGCGCAGAUAUCAGGAAGAACACCGAUGGCGAAGGCAGCUCUCUGGGACGGUACUGACGCUGAGACGCGAAAGCGUGGGGAGCGAACAGG
rnacentral:rRNA from 1 species